rnacentral:rRNA from 1 species
GAUCCAGACAACCUCGGGAAACUGAGGCUAAUCUGGAAUAGGGCUCUCAUCCUGGAGUGGAGAGAGCCUGAAAUGCUCCGGCGCCAUAGGAUGUGGCUGCGGCCGAUUAGGUAGACGGUGGGGUAACGGCCCACCGUGCCAGUAAUCGGUACGGGUUGUGAGAGCAAGAGCCCGGAGACGGUAUCUGAGACAAGAUACCGGGCCCUACGGGGCGCAGCAGGCGCGAAACCUUUACACUGCACGCCAGUGCGAUAAGGGGACUCCAAGUGCGAGGGCAUAUAGUCCUCGCUUUUUGCGACCGUAAGGUGGUCGCGGAAUAAGUGCUGGGCAAGACCGGUGCCAGCCGCCGCGGUAAUACCGGCAGCACGAGUGAUGACCGCUGUUAUUGGGCCUAAAGCGUCCGUAGCUGGCCGCGCAAGUCUAUCGGGAAAUCUCUCCGCUUAACGGAGAGGCGUCCGGUGGAAACUGUGUGGCUUGGGACCGGAAGACCAGAGGGGUACGUCUGGGGUAGGAGUGAAAUCCCGUAAUCCUGGACGGACC